ensembl:lncRNA
AAGGAACAGCAGCGUUUAGGGAGAAGCUGGGGAGGUGGUGGCCAUGGAAACUGCAGUGUGAAGAGGACAAGGGGAGAGCAGAGGCUGGGAAUCGGCCGCAGGGUGGACCAGGCUGGUUAAAGGGCGUUUCACCAGCCCAGCUUAGUUUGCUCUGGGCCCAUCCUUCCCGGCUCUUGACCCUUGGGGGCUCCAGCCUCUGGGAUCAGAGGUGAAUCUCAGGAUGGACUCUAAGGAUCUGGCAGAAGGCAAACGGAAGAGCUAAAGGAGGGCAAUAUGAAGGGAGACUUGGCCUUCGUGCCCAGGUGGAAUCUGCUAGUUUUCCCCUGGUGCUGGCGACAGCCUGCUGUACAAAGUGGGACACUCUCUCCAGGCUUCAACGCAAGACAUUUCUGGGAGACCUGCAGGGACUGCGCUGGGGCCAUCGGCUAUACAAGCUGGUCCUUGAGGGCAGCAUCUUAGAUCCAGAUGAAGGAUAACAGAAAAGUCCCAUUUGGUUCAAUUCUCUGUCUCUCUGACCUGCACUGGAAAUACCGUUUGAGAGUCUCCCAGUUGAAACCUUCCAUUAUCGGUGAUGGGGAAAAUGGAAAUUACUCUCCCCCCGACUUUUUAAGGGCUUCCCAGGUGGUGCUAGUGGAAAAACACGCCUGCCAAUGCAGGAGACAUAAAAGAUGAGGUUCAAUCCUUGGGUCAGGAAGAUCCCCUGGAAUAGGAAAAGGCAACCUGCUCCAGUAUUCUUGCCUGGAAAGUCCCAUGGACAGAGGAGCCUGGUGGACUACAGUCCAUGGGGUUGCAAAGAGUUGGACACAACUGAGCACACGCAUUUAUUUGGUUGCUCCGGUCUCAGUUGCGGCACACAGGAUCUUCGUUGCAGCUUGGGGAUCUUUAGUUGUGGCAUGUGGGAACUAGUUCCCUGACUGCAUUGAACACGG